rnacentral:rRNA from 1 species
ACUCAAAUGAAUAGACGGGGGCCCGCACAAGCGGAGGAACAUGUGGUUUAAUUCGAUGAUACGCGAGGAACCUUACCCGGGCUUGAAAUACAGAGGGAUGAAGAUGAAAAUUUUCAGUCAGCAAUGACCUCUGUGUAGGUGCUGCAUGGUUGUCGUCAGCUCGUGCCGUGAGGUGUCGGCUUAAGUGCCAUAACGAGCGCAACCCCUAUUGUUAGUUACUAACAGGUUAAGCUGAGGACUCUAACGAGACUGCCACCGUAAGGUGUGAGGAAGGUGGGGAUGACGUCAAAUCAGCACGGCCCUUACGUCCGGGGCGACACACGUGUUACAAUGGGAGGUACAGAGGGCCGCUACCUGGUGACAGGAUGCCAAUCUUAUAAAACCUCUCUCAGUUCGGAUCGGAGUCUGCAACUCGACUCCGUGAAGCUGGAUUCGCUAGUAAUCGCGCAUCAGCCAUGGCGCGGUGAAUACGUUCCCGGGCCUUGCACACACCGCCCGU